rnacentral:rRNA from 1 species
UGGGGAAUAUUGGACAAUGGGCGCAAGCCUGAUCCAGCCAUGCCGCGUGAGUGAUGACGGCCUUAGGGUUGUAAAGCUCUUUCGCUCGGGACGAUAAUGACGGUACCGAGAUAAGAAGCCCCGGCUAACUUCGUGCCAGCAGCCGCGGUAAUACGAAGGGGGCUAGCGUUGUUCGGAAUUACUGGGCGUAAAGCGCGUGUAGGCGGGCUUUUAAGUCAGGGGUGAAAUGCCGAGGCUCAACCUCGGAACUGCCUUUGAUACUGGAAGUCUUGAGUCCGGGAGAGGUGAGUGGAACUGCGAGUGUAGAGGUGAAAUUCGUAGAUAUUCGCAAGAACACCAGUGGCGAAGGCGGCUCACUGGCCCGGAACUGACGCUGAGACGCGAAAGCGUGGGGAGCAAACAGG